AUUGAACGCUGGCGGCAGGCCUAACACAUGCACGUCGCACGAGUGGCGGACGGGUGAGUCAUGUCUGUGAACCUGCCUGACGGAGGGGGUUAACACAUGGAAACGGUAGCUAAUACCGCUUACCAUAAGAUGAGCCAAGAUGGCAUUAGCUAGUUGGUGGGGUAACGGCGCACCAAUGCGACGAUCCCUAGCUGGUCUGAGAGGAGGACCAUGCACGCUGGAACUGAGACACGGUCCAGACUCGUACGUGAGGCAGAGGAGGGGAAUAUUGCGCAAUGGUCGCAAGCCUGAUGCAGCCAUGCCGCGUGGAUGAAGAAGGCCUUGGGGUGGUAAAGUACUAUCAGCGGGGAGGGGUUACCCGCAGAAGAAGCACCGGCUAACGCCGUGCCAGCCGCCGCGGUAAUAC
rnacentral:rRNA from 1 species